rnacentral:rRNA from 1 species
GCAGCCGCGGUAAUACGUAGGGGGCGAGCGUUGUCCGGAAUGAUUGGGCGUAAAGGGCGCGUAGGCGGCCCGGUAAGUCUGGAGUGAAAGUCCUGCUUUUAAGGUGGGAAUUGCUUUGGAUACUGUCGGGCUUGAGUGCAGGAGAGGUAAGUGGAAUUCCCAGUGUAGCGGUGAAAUGCGUAGAGAUUGGGAGGAACACCAGUGGCGAAGGCGACUUACUGGACUGUAACUGACGCUGAGGCGCGAAAGUGUGGGGAGCAAACAGGAUUAGAUACCCC